rnacentral:lncRNA from 1 species
GACCGGGCUCCCAGGGAAGGUUUAUUUGGUGUUCUGAAGACAGGUUCUGUUGCUUUAAAAAGAUCUGAAACCCACUAGGCUAGAUGUCCUUGAACUGCCUGGCAGCCUUUACUUCCUGGGCUCUGAGCCUCCACAAUUCUAAAUUCUGAGAUUCUCAGAACCCCAGAUCCUGGUCUCCUGAAACUCCAGAAUUCGAAGUCGUGGAUUCUAAGAUGUACUGGGACUCACGUCGCCCACUGCAACACAUCCCUCGUAAACACACAGCUGGACCUUGGAGGCCUGGGAGAGGGUGGGGGCAGGAGGGAGGUCUUCUGCUGACGUCAGGCCUCCCUCCGCCCUGAGACUCCCCAGGAGACGAGAGCGAUCAACAUUAGCCAGGAGCAAAGCGCAUCUUUAUCUGGGAUGACCCCCAUCAUGCAGGACCAUCCAGGAGAAGAGCCAGGAAUCAGCAAGCCCUCCAUCUCUGCGGGGCGUCUGAGGGGAGAUCCUCUGCAUGGCCUGGCCAGGCACCGCUCCCGGCUGGCUGUUCUCUAGUGAUGUCAUGACAGUCACCAUCAGAUACUCUGGGCCUCAGAGGAGACUCAGCAGCACUGUCAGUUCCAUAUGCUGGCCCUCACUGAUCCAGAACUCCUGGUCGGGGGAUGAUCUGAAGAAUGAAGGAUGCCAUCACCUAGGGGCCCUGGGAGGCUCGGGCCUUUCCCCAGAAGACCCCAAUUCCAUCUCAGUGUGGAGGGAAAAGGGUCUGAGGGGAUGUUGUAAGCACCCCAUACUGCACAAUGAGGGACCAGCAUAUGGAAGUGACACCCCAUACUCCAUACUGUGUGCCAGUCUCAGCACACAAGAAGAGCUCAACAAAUGUGGCCUGCUGACAUUAGGACCAGAGCAAUCAGUCCGAGGGGAGUGCGGCACAGCCCAACUUUCGCUGUGGAAGUCCCCUGGCCCGUGAUAUGUAAGGAAGUGAGGACCUGCAGAUGAGCCCAGCUUCCACCCAGCACCUGCUCACUGGCCUUGCUGACUUCGGGCUCACUCCCCUCCCCAUCUAAUCCCUGCCAUGCCUCAGAGUAACCCUGAAAACCUCCUCAGGUCUCGUUGUGUCCUUUCCUGGACCCCUUUCGGGCCUACAGUGGUUUCUCCCUGGGGCCUGGGGCCUGCCACUCCCUCCUUACCACUGGGCCUUUGCACAUGCUGUUCCCUCCUCUGGCUCCACCUCCCUUCCUUAGGCUUCUGUGGCUCCCUGAACUUCUCUGGUCCCCGGUCUCCUCUGUGUUAUAAGUGACAGUUCACUCCUCUGUCCCCGCCAGGGAUUGGAAGCUCCUCAGGCCUCUGCAUUUGGCUCAGUCACUGCUGUUUCCCGAGAACAGGGCGGUGCCCGACGCCUCAGCCAGCAUUUCCUGAGCACGGACUGUGUGCUGUGUGCUGGGGACUGCGCUCAGCCCUUUACUAGCAUACAUCAAUUAACCUUCGAAGUCAUCUUCAAGGACAUACUGGAGACAGGACAGCAUCGGGGCUGGGAGCACGCGCUUGAAGGUCAGGCUGGCUGGAUUUGAACCCGGCUCCGCAUUUACCAGCUGGGUAGAUCUUUAUCGGGUUAUGUGCCUCAGUUUCCUCAUAUAAGAUGGAGCGAGUAAUGACAGCACCUACCUCAUGGGGCUGUUCUGAGGAUUAGAGUGAAUUUAUAUAAAGAGCUUAAAACAAUGCC